rnacentral:rRNA from 1 species
CGCGUAGGCGGCUCCAAAAGUCAGGGGUGAAAUCCGGCAGCUUAACUGUCGCAGUGCCUUUGAUACUGUGGAGCUAGAGGGAGGUAGGGGUCUGUGGAACUUCCGGUGGAGCGGUGAAAUGCGUUGAUAUCGGAAGGAACGCCGGUGGCGAAAGCGACGGACUGGAUCUCUUCUGACGCUGAGGCGCGAAAGCCAGGGGGAGCAAACG